UGUGUGUGCGCUCACACACAAUGGAGAAGUUUGCCUCGAACGUCGACUACUAGGCUGCAGCCUUCCAUGCCGCGGUCCAUCCCUCCAAUGAGCGUCGUCAAACAGUAAACGUCAUUGACAGCGCCACAGUUUGUCUGAAAGAGCGACAAGAUACUUGAGGUUGGACGCUGUAAAAGCCGGCGUCUUUGGAGCUAACAGUGCUAAAAUCAAGGAUUUGACAAUAAAAGAGUUACACAUGUACACCGAUGUUUGGUAUUAAUGUAUCUUACAACCUAUUAGCCUACUAGAUCAAUGGAAAUGGGCCUGUGUUGCGCUGUAUCAAUGUUACGUUAUAUCCUCAGAAACAGACGAUAAAAAAAACGUAAUUUCAUGGAUGUUUAUGUGUCUGA